rnacentral:rRNA from 1 species
AACGAACGCUGGCGGCAUGCCUAACACAUGCGAGUCGAACGAGACCUUCGGGUCUAGUGGCGCACGGGUGCGUAACGCGUGGGAACCUGCCCUUAGGUUCGGAAUAACUCCCCGAAAGGGGUGCUAAUACCGGAUAAUGUCUUCGGACCAAAGAUUUAUCGCCUUUGGUUGGGCCCGCGUUGGAUUAGCCAGUUGGUAGGGUAAAAGCCUACCAAGGCGACGAUCCAUAGCUGGUCUGAGAGGAAGACCAGCCACACUGGGGCUGAGACACGGCCCAGACUCCUACGCGAGGGAGCAGAGGGGAAUAUAGGACUAUGGGCGAGAGCCUGAUCCAGCAAUGCCGCGUAAGUGAUGAAGUCGGUAGGGAUGUGAAGCUCGUUUACCCGGGAUGAUAAUGACGGUACCGGGAGAAUAAGCACCGGCUAACUCCGUG